rnacentral:rRNA from 1 species
AACGAACGCUGGCGGCAUGCCUAACACAUGCAAGUCGAACGAGACCUUCGGGUCUAGUGGCGCACGGGUGCGUAACGCGUGGGAACCUGCCCUUAGGUUCGGAAUAACUCCCCGAAAGGGGUGCUAAUACCGGAUAAUGUCUUCGGACCAAAGAUUUAUCGCGUUUGGAUGGGCCAGCGUUGGAUUAGCUAGUUGGUAGGGUAAAAGCCUACCAAGGCGAGGAUCCAUAGCUGGUCUGAGAGGAUGAUCAGCCACACUGGGACUGAGACACGGCCCAGACUCCUACGGGAGGCAGCAGUGGGGAAUAUUGGACAAUGGGCGAAAGCCUGAUCCAGCAAUGCCGCGUGAGUGAUGAAGGCCUUAGGGUUGUAAAGCUCUUUUACCCGGGAUGAUAAUGACAGUACCGGGAGAAUAAGCUCCGGCUAACUCCGUG